rnacentral:lncRNA from 13 species
GAAGGUGAAGCCCAAAUACAUCACUCUUAUCUGGGGUUUGGGGCAAGUUUUAUGGGUUAGGGAAUUUUUAUGGGUUAACCUGUAUAAGUUGCUAUACAGAUGCACUGACAGAGCAGGUUUUGAUUGGAAGAACUUCAAAGACUGUUUAUGUGACUUGGGAGACUCAAACCGUCCUUCAUUCUGAGGAUGCUGAAAAAACUGAAUCCAAGAACUAGCAAGAUACUAAGCAAUUGCCAGGUGGUGACCCAGCAUGCUAAGAGCACAGCAAGGACCCUGAAGGUGGCAUACUCUUCCUGACAGGACCUACCAGCUUGACGGAGAGGCAAGUGCAUAAGGCAGUGCUCUCUGAAAAGUAGCAGUACUUACAUGUGAAUGCUGAAAACCUCGCUUAAUGGAUACUUUUGAUGUAACUCCAUUUAUACUCACAAUUUUGGCUCCAUUCCAUUCUUGUUUUACUGUUUAAGUUUCUCUUUAAAGCAACAAUUUUCUUUAUAUCAUUUACAAUAGACCCCACAAAACUAUGACAGAAGCUGUUUUUCUAUCAAAGCAUACUAUUUCUCUUCUAGAGAUGUCACCUUGAAACAGACAUUUACUUAACAAUUCUACGUUACUAGCUUUCAUUCAAAGAUACUUGUAUAUUUUACCUCACCCUGCUGCACUGAUCUAUCUACAGCCUUUCCUCGAAGAAAAGGGUCACUCAGAAAGAUUUGAUAAAAACCUGUAUAACAAGUCAUUGUCAAUAAAACUGAAAUGUUUUCUUAAAGGCA